rnacentral:rRNA from 14 species
AUUUCCGAAUGGGGAAACCCGACCCUUUAGGGUCAUCGUACGGUGAAUUCAUAGCCGUGCGAGGCGAACCCGGGGAACUGAAACAUCUCAGUACCUGGAGGAAAGGACAUCAAAAUGAGACUCCGUUAGUAGUGGCGAGCGAACGCGGACCAGGCCAAUGCUCUCUCUGAAUUUACCGGAACUGUCUGGAAAGGCAGGCCUUAGCGGGUGACAGCCCCGUACGGAGCGAGGAUGAGAGAGAUUCGAGUAGGGCGGGACACGUGAAAUCCUGUCUGAACAUGGGGGGACCACCCUCCAAGCCUAAGUACUCCUAUGCGACCGAUAGUGAACAAGUACCGUGAGGGAAAGGUGAAAAGCACCCCGAUUAGGGGAGUGAAA